UGCCCCCAGCAGGGAUCGAACCUGCGACCUACCGCUUACGAAGCGGGCGCACUACCACUGUGCUAUGGAGGC
rnacentral:tRNA from 1 species